rnacentral:rRNA from 1 species
CACGUAGGGGGCAAGCGUUGUCCGGAUUUAUUGGGCGUAAAGAGCUCGUAGGCGGUCUGUCGCGUCGGCUGUGAAAUCCCGGAGCUCAACUCCGGGUCUGCAGUCGAUACGGGCAGACUAGAGUUCGGCAGGGGAGACUGGAAUUCCUGGUGUAGCGGUGAAAUGCGCAGAUAUCAGGAGGAACACCGGUGGCGAAGGCGGGUCUCUGGGCCGAUACUGACGCUGAGGAGCGAAAGCGUGGGGAGCGAACAGG